CGGGCAUCUUGCCUAUUGCAACUCGCACACAAGGUCACAUGCCAUCGACGCGCCGGUUUUGCGCAUCUCUUGACUUCUUAUCAUAAACUUUUGCGUCGUUUCAUGCUCGGCUGCGGAAUAUGCGUUUGCAGCCUGUUUUGUGCGGAUCGCUAGUUAAUCUAGGCGUGUUUUGAUUGACUCGUAAAUCGCGUUUUUAUAUUGUCCAUCGACUGCAUUUAGCUAUUACGGGCGUGUUUAGUGUUUUAUUACAAAAUCGUUAAUUUUUGUUGCGGUCGGUGUGCGUAUUGCAAGAUGACCGCGUGCAAUCAACUUGUUUACACUGCACGUAAACGAGAUACAUGUAGCAUGCAACGUCUUGCAACGUUUGUUGUGAUAUUAUUUGGACAAUGGAUUGGAACAAUGAGAAUCUUCUUCGUGAAAGCCGAGAAAGAACGCAAUUGUCUUCGAGUUCCGAUGCCCGAGUCACGAGCUAAAUUAGAAUGCGAAUUUGAUUCGCUUCGUCGGUCGACUCCCGAUUUAAAAUAAAAUAAAUAUUGACACCCCUUCCCGCAUUUCCACUUAACAAUGUCAUUUAUUUCACAGAUUUUAUCAUCUGCAACAAUAGUCCUGAGUGUUGCAACGAGUGAAAUACUGGUAUGUGGAAUUUUGCACCGGAGUCUGACAUCGUAGAAGGACCAUUCUGGUAUCAGAUUGGAUUUUGCAGCUGGGUCUGACACCGUAGAAGGACCAUUCUGGUAUCAGAUUGUAAGUAAUUAAUUCCUUUAUCAUUU